rnacentral:rRNA from 1 species
CAAAUAGCGUAAUAAUUUAAAAGUUUGUUGACAAGUUAAAAAGCUCGUAGUUUGGAUUUCGGAGUGGGGCCAGUUGGUCCGCCGCAAGGUGUGUUACUGACUGGUUUGCUCUUCUUCGCAAAAGACUGCGUGUGCCCUUAAAAUGAGUGUGCGUAGGAUUUACGACGUUUUACUUUUGAAAAAAUUAGAGUGUUCAAAAGCAGGCUAUUGCUUGAAUACAUGAGCAUGGAAUAAAUGGAAAUAGGACUUUGGUCCCAUUUUUGUUUGGUUUUCUAGGGCCGAAGUAAUGAUUAAAGAGGGACAAUUGGGGGGCAUCCGUAUUUCGUUGUCAGAGGUGAAAUUCUUGGAUUUACGAAAGACGAACAAACUGCGAAAGCACUUGCCAAGAGUGUUUUCAUUAAUCAAGAACGAAAAGUUAGAGGAUCGAAGACGAUUAGAUACCAU